rnacentral:rRNA from 1 species
ACGCACGCUGGCGGCGUGCCUAAUACCUGCAAGUAGCACGCUGAAGGAGGAGCUUGCUUCUCUGGAUGAGUUGCGAACGGGUGAGUAACGCGUAGGUAACCUGCCUGGUAGCGGGGGAUAACUAUUGGAAACGAUAGCUAAUACCGCAUAAGAGUAGAUGUCGCAUGACAUUUGCUUAAAAGGUGCAAUUGCAUCACUACCAGAUGGACCUGCGUUGUAUUAGCUAGUUGGUGAGGUAACGGCUCACCAAGGCAACGAUACAUAGCCGACCUGAGAGGGUGAUCGGCCACACUGGGACUGGGACACGGCCCAGACUCCUACGGGAGGCAGCAGUAGGGAAUCUUCGGCAAUGGACGGAAGUCUGACCGAGCAACGCCGCGUGAGUGAAGAAGGUUUUCGGAUCGUAAAGCUCUGUUGUAAGAGAAGAACGAGUGUGAGAGUGGAAAGUUCACACUGUGACGGUAUCUUACCAGAAAGGGACGGCUAACUACGUG